rnacentral:rRNA from 1 species
CCCUACGGGACGCAGCAGUGGGGAAUAUUGCACAAUGGGGGGAACCCUGAUGCAGCGACGCCGCGUGAGUGAAGAAGUAUUUCGGUAUGUAAAGCUCUAUCAGCAGGGAAGAUAAUGACGGUACCUGACUAAGAAGCCCCGGCUAACUACGUGCCAGCAGCCGCGGUAAUACGUAGGGGGCAAGCGUUAUCCGGAUUUACUGGGUGUGAAGGGUGCGUAGGUGGCAGGGCAAGUCAGAUGUGAAAGCCCGGG